CCCAGGUUGAAGAUUUGGCCAGAGGCGAGCAGUUAAAGUGUCACUUAACAUUCUGGAGAAUGUGAAAUAUACUGCGCGGUGUCAACUCCCCAAAACCAUAAAACUAACUUUAUGGACCUCACGUGACUUUCUCGAGCCAGUGAGGGGUAUCUGUCUGACUUCUCGGCGAUUUUUACGAUCUAACUUCGAGAUAAAACCCCUAUCCAUUUGACAUCUAAAUGUCAUAGCGACUUUUGGGAUAGUUUGCUAUCGACAAAGGGAGACAAAGUCAAGGGGUGAAGGGAAAGGAGGGCCAAGUAGAGCCUCCACGACCCUCGGCUUCCUCCUCACCAGCUCCCCCUCCCUCCAAGUCCAGUAAGAAGUUGGGCCAAGCUGGAAGGGAUUGACCGGGUUGCUUGUCUGGAGAUGGAGCCACUACAGGCGGGCCUGGGCGCCUGGAGUCGGGCAUGAAAGAAAAUAGCGCCUCAUCGCUCUUAUCUAAGCCCAGAGGUCCAGGGGACAACCUGAGGGCCCUGAAGUGUUUCAAUACCAUGUACCAGCUUGACUUCUCUACAUGUCCUUUGGAUUGCCCAAAAGCAAAAUCUCAGAGGGGCCAAGGACCUUCUAGGGCUGGCUCCCUCAGGGCCUCCUAUAGAGCAGCUCCUUGAGUCGGGCCUUAUAGCCACCAGAAAGUCACCUCGCCGCAGGAAAGCUAUAAAGAGCUGCUCCAGAGGCGCCGAAAGAGGGUGAGGGCUGCAGCCACAGUGUUUGUCCCCAGCACCACCAGGCCCCUUAACCUCGUCAGCUCCUCUAGCCCUCGGCCAGACUCUGGCAACACCUUGGUUUGCCUGGCACCGCAGGCAAUUUCCUGGAACCCCACCCCCACCCAGGAACGGGGACCACAGCACCUUUAAAGGAACUGCCAGAGCUUCCUCCUACGGCUUGAAAGCCCAAGCUAAUCAGUAACCCGUGAGACAGGGGCCAAUAUUCAAACGCUGCAGCAGAGGCGCAUAGCCUAGCCCUGGCCACCCCCUCUUGGGAAGGAGGUCGAGUUAAGCCGGUGUGGAGGGUCCAACAGGAACGGAAAUUACGACGGUGUGGUUCCUUAAGGAUUUGGCCCCAGUCCCACUACCAAAUUUUUCCCAAAUCAUAUUUAGGUAGACUUCGCUUGAAAAGAUCGAGAAUGGAGGAGGGGAUCGGCACUCACUUGCAGACAUCAACAGUUUCCAGAAAAUUCGGUUCAAUUCCUUCACCACGGACCCACCAACCAAGGAGCUGGCAAAACCCACUAACCAACCAGGAGAACACAGACCCGGUUUGUCUUUUGACAACCGAGUGGAACUGACGGGGCCGGCGCCUGCCCUGCGGGUCCCCUCCCUUGGCUGAGAAGAAAACCAAAUAAACCUUGAACAGCCUUGGCUUCGGAUGUCUCAAGCGGCCUCAUCCUCUCCCGCGCCUUGGUGGGGUGGGGGUGGGGAUGGCGGUGGGGGUGUCGGCUCUGAUCCCUCCACCCUUUGAUUCAGGGCCCCUGCCCGCUGGAAGCAGAAUUAGACCUUUUUAUAUAUGCCCUAGAGGAAGCCGCUUCCCUUGCCAGCCGCCAGGUUUGGGGCUAGGAUGGGCGGGGACGGGGGCAGUGGGAAAUUGGGGAUGAUGGGUGGAGGAGAGACUUCUGUUCUCUAACUCACACCGGGGAACCAAGAUCUAGCUGAGAGCGUCGGUGUGGGCCCGAAAUCCCCCGAAUCCCGUGGACCCUGCGAGGCCGGGGCUCCAGGCGUCGGGCACCUCUGGACAGUGUCGCGGGGCUUGCGGCGCCGAAGCCGCGUGUCUCCGAACGGACGGUAGAUGGCAGCAGACCGCAUAAUUUGGGUCACAGCGAACUGUCUAAGGGAGGAUUUAUAACCCUCCAAGACUACAGGAGAAAAAGACCUUUAGUAUGGGUGGGUUUGGGAAAUUUUUCCCUUGAGAAUAGUCCCCGAGUGCCGUGGGUGCUGGCGGAGAACUCUAGCUACGAAGCCCAGCGGUCCCUCCAGGCGCCCAGGCCGGGCCUGAACCUAGGGCAUCUACCUGGGGCCACAGAGCCGCCUCUUCCGCGCCACAAGUGGCAGCGUCGUCCCUCUCCUAGCUUAGGACUGAGAUAAUAAAUAUAUCCCCACUUCCAAAACGCCCCAGACCCUGUAACUCCGGGGCAACCAGAGGCCCGAGGCUGAAUGUCCUGCAUCUGGUCUUAAGAAAGAGAAAAGCAAUCACAUGUUCGUGCAAACCAGACUAAAAAUCACAAUUUCUCCUGCCCUCCACAGCCAACAUCACUUAUCUCUUGGCUGGAAGCUUCCCCAGAAGCUCCCUUACCCCAUUUUUAAGUCCUUGCCUCAAGGCUGGCACCUACUUCCACCCCACGAGCUACUUUAGGAAUCUCUGUCACCUGCCCAAUGUUCUCCGCCCUCCCCACCCCCUAGAAGGCCUGACUGAGGGAUAAAAUUGGACACCCGAGGGACGGGACUGUCUGAGCUCAGUGCCAGUUAGCUUUUCAGUUUAGACGCCGCUAGGUCCCAUAAUUGGAUUUUCUUUUUAUUUUCUUCUUUCAUUUCUUUCUCUUUUAUUUUUAUUUACAAGCCUAAAACAAAAAGGCACUUAACAGCUUCUUCACAAUCACCAUGUCUGGACCCAGGAAAGUUUGAAAUGUUAUCAUAUCAGACACACACAUGGCAAUUUUUUCCUCCACCGAAAUCCACACAUCCCAUACCAAUACAACGCAAGUAAUAGAAUCAGUAUCACGCAGAAACCAACAGCUGUAACCUACCGCAUUAAAACCACAAAACUGUCUCCCUGUAGAGCGAGGCUCCCUCCUGCGGGAGUGGCGAGAUACUUGGGCAUUCUCGGGCAGGCUUCCUGCCGUUUCCUCUCCCUCGCCGGCCUCGGCGGAGAUUCCAGGCCCUAUAGAAACCAGGACGUCCCUUAGCGCCACCGCCUCACAUGCCAGUGCUGCCGGGAACCCAGCGAUAUCCGCACCAGCGGAGAAGGUUCCAGGCUGCCGGCGGCGGCGCAGAGAGCGGGAAGAGAGGCUCGGAGGAAGCCCCGGGCGUGGCGUGGUCAGGCUCCGAGAGCGGCCGGGAUGCGGCCACACCGGCCUGGUAAACUCGCACCUCUUAGGAUCUUGCUCCCGGACUCAUUCCCUUCCCCACCCCCUAUUUUAAAGUUUUAUUUGGGUCGUCUGUAUCAAUUUAGAACGAGAUAAAUUAAGACAAAGAAAGUAAAAUAAAUCGAAAUAAAAUAUAGGAAUAGCUCUUGGCGAAAAUGUUUGCCGUGCGAGCAGGAAGCCGUGAGCGCCCUAGUUGGAGGCUGCUCUGCGCCGACUAAGAGGCCUCUACUCCCAGGCCUGGCCUCUACGCAACGCCACCCAAGAAGCCAGAGUGAAUUUGGGUGUUCAUUUUCCCUUUCCUUCCGCUCUUCCUUCAUGUGGGGCCUAGCAGCUUGGAUUUCAGCUCCGUCUUUGUGCCUGGGCUGCAGCCCAGAUCCAGAUCCCGCAGCUUGGUUUCCAGGCCUGAAUGAGGACGCGGGUUUGUGAAACUGUGAGGUUUUUGUUUUGUUGUUUUGUGAGCUUGUGUGACUAAGCAUGUGGGCUUCUGAGUGCGUUUACUUGGGGGCAAAUGUGAAUCUGUGUUUAUAAGCCAAUGUGUGAAUGUACGUUGGUAUCAAUGUGUCUGUGAGUGUGAAUGUGUGUUUACUUGUGAGCGUGUGUGAACAUGAAUGCCUA
rnacentral:lncRNA from 1 species